CGAAAUAGGCUAAGACUCCACAAACAUUGCUUUGAAGUAUUAAAUGGCUUUUCUAGUGUUGUUUGGGGUUAAAAUAUGUUAGAAUACAAUAAAUUUGAUUGAUAUCAAGUGCUAGAUAUAAAUGAAGACUGUUUAGAAGUGUGGAGAAAUACUUGUUGAAAUUUGGUCCCAAAUGGGCUUAGAACUAAGAAACAUUGCGUUGAACCACUAAAUGGCUUGUCUAGUGUUGUUUGGGGCUAGAAUAUGUUAGAAUACAAUGAAUUUGUUUGAUUACAAGUGCUAGAUAUGCAUGAAGAGUGUUUUGUGGAGAAAAGAUCCCACAUCGGAAGAUGUGAGGGGACUUAAGUAAUAUAUAAAGGGUUAGGGCCAAUCCACUCAUUGCCAAUUGGUUUUGAGUUGGAAGCCCAUAACAAACCCUAAUUUAACAUGGUAUCAGAGCUAUAAGCCAAAAUUAUACAAAACGUUUUGGUUUGUUUCGAUCUGUGACUUUGUUAUUCUCUUCAAGCUUAAUCUCCUGUCAUGAGUGAAGAAGCGGCGUUGGUUCCGGCUCGUCUGAAGACCCGACGUACGAUUGAUCCG
rnacentral:lncRNA from 1 species